GUCUACGGUCAUACCACCCUGAAUGCACCCGAUCUCAUCUGAUCUUGGAAACUAAGCAGGGUGGGGCCUGGUUAGUACUUGGAUGGGAGAGAGAGGAGCCAUGAGCU
rnacentral:rRNA from 1 species